rnacentral:rRNA from 1 species
AUUGAACGCUGGCGGCAGGCCUAACACAUGCAAGUCGAACGAGUGGCGGACGGGUGAGUAAUGUCUGGGAAACUGCCCGAUGGAGGGGGAUAACUACUGGAAACGGUAGCUAAUACCGCAUACCCUCGGAUGUGCCCAGAUGUGAUUAGCUAGUAGGUGGGGUAACGGCUCACCUAGGCGAAUAUCCCUAGCUGGUCUGAUCGGAUGACCAGCCACACUGGAACUGAGACACGGUCCAGACUCCUACGGGAGGCAGCAGUGGGGAAUAUUGCACAAUGGGCGCAAGCCUGAUGCAGCCAUGCCGCGUGUAUGAAGAAGGCCUUCGGGUUGUAAAGUACUUUCAGCGAGGAGGCGUUACUCGCAGAAGAAGCACCGGCUAACUCCGUGCCAGCAGCCGCGGUAAUUC